rnacentral:rRNA from 1 species
GACGAACGCUGGCGGCGUGCCUAAUACAUGCAAGUCGAGCGAAGCGGCGGAUGGGUGAGUAACGCGUGGGUAACCUGCCCUUAAGUCUGGGAUACCAUUUGGAAACAGAUGCUACUACCGGAUACUAAGGGAUGGACGUGCGAUGCAUUAGCUAGUGGGUAAGGUACCGGCUUACCAAGGCGAUGAUGAAUAGCCGAGUUGGGGGACUGAUCGGGCACAUUGGGACUGAGGUACGGCCCAGACUGCUACGGGAGGCAGCGGUGGGGACUAUUGCACAAUGGGGGAAACCCUGAUGCAGCGCCGCCGCGUGCGGGAUGACGGCCUUCGGGUUGGAAACCGCUUUCAGCCAUGACGCGGUAGUGGCAGAAGAAGCACCGGCUAACUACGUGCCAGCAGCCGCGGUAAUUC